rnacentral:rRNA from 1 species
CCUACGGGAGGCUGCAGUGAGGAAUAUUGGUCAAUGGGCGCGAGCCUGAACCAGCCAAGUCGCGUGAGGGAAGACGGUCCUAUGGAUUGUAAACCUCUUUUGUCGGGGAGCAAAAGACGCCACGCGUGGCGUUCCGAGAGUACCCGAAGAAAAAGCAUCGGCUAACUCCGUGCCAGCAGCCGCGGUAAUACGGAGGGGGCGAGCGUUAUCCGGAAUUACUGGGUGUAAAGGGAGCGUAGACGGCGAGGUAAGCCUGCAGUGGAAGCCCGCGGCCCAACCGUGGAAAUGCGUUUGGAACUGUUUGGCUGGAGGAUGGUAGGGGUAAGCGGAAGUCCGGGUGUAGCGGUGAAAGGCGUAGAUAUCAGGAGGAACACCGGUGGCGAAGGCGGCUUACUGGACCAUAACUGACGUUGAGGCUCGAAAGCGUGGGGAGCGAACAGGAUUAGAUACCCCAGUAGUC